rnacentral:lncRNA from 1 species
CCUUUAUGUGUCCCUUCGGAAAGGAAGCAAUUGUUCAUGAAAAGAGACAGUUUUCUAAAACGUCAGAUACCUGCGCCCGAUCCGUGCUGGACCUGCGGCCGCAAGUAGCACUUUUCCCAUUUCAGUAUCUCCUGCACUAGACCUACACCAGGCAACGAUAGCCUGCGCCAUGUCUGCGCCUGACCUGUGUACACAGGUCGCUUCUUUUUCAAAAUAGUGUGUCUCUUCAUCGAAGGGCCGUAUCCUUUCAAGGUGCAUUGUGUAUACAUUUACAUUGCGUUCGAAAUGCGUCCGCACAUGGAGAAAACAUUUUCAUAGGAUUUUUAGAUUAAACUUUCACUUGUUUUCCUAGUUUCAAAUAAAUUUUGUCCAAAAAAUUAAUCUCUCGAUCAAUCAUUUGACAAAUUCAAAUUCAAACUCGAAGCCGAGGAGCGAUGACAAUACAAGGCAUCUCUUUGUUCUUGCCUCACUAUCCACAUGGAGUGUUUCUUAAUAUAAAUACUAGAAAGUUUC